rnacentral:rRNA from 1 species
UACGUAGGGUGCGAGCGUUGUCCGGAAUUAUUGGGCGUAAAGAGCUCGUAGGCGGCCUGUCGCGUCGGAUGUGAAAACUCGGGGCUUAACCCCGAGCCUGCAUUCGAUACGGGCAGGCUAGAGUUCGGCAGGGGAGACUGGAAUUCCUGGUGUAGCGGUGAAAUGCGCAGAUAUCAGGAGGAACACCGGUGGCGAAGGCGGGUCUCUGGGCCGAUACUGACGCUGAGGCGCGAAAGCGUGGGGAGCAAACAGG